rnacentral:rRNA from 1 species
UACGGUAGGGGGCAAGCGUUGUCCGGAUUCAUUGGGCGUAAAGAGCGUGUAGGCGGCCAGGUAGGUCGGUUGUGAAAACUGGAGGCUCAACCUUCAGAGGUCGACCGAAACCAUCUGGCUAGAGUCCGGGAGAGGAGAGUGGAAUUCCCGGUGUAGCGGUGAAAUGCGCAGAUAUCGGGAAGAACACCCGUGGCGAAGGCGGCUCUCUGGGACGGUACUGACGCUGAGACGCGAAAGCGUGGGGAGCGAACAGG